CAAGCAAAUCUAAAUACUUUUUGCAUUAGUGAAAAGAUGAUCGACUAAUCCUUAGUUAAGCUGUUAUAAGGAUUGCCCUUUGAGGUUUCAGCAAUAGGUUGCCCUAUGUGUCGUUCAGAGUAUUUGCUUA
rnacentral:sRNA from 12 species